rnacentral:tRNA from 1 species
AGCAGUGUGGCUUAGUGGAAAGAGCAUGGGCUUAAGCGUCAGAGGAUGUGGGUUCUAAUCCCGGCUCUGCCA